AUUGAACGCUGGCGGCAGGCUUAACACAUGCAAGUCGAGCGGAGUGAUGGUGCUUGCACUAUCACUUAGCGGCGGACGGGUGAGUAAUGCUUAGGGAUCUGCCUAUUAGUGGGGGACAACAUCUCGAAAGGGAUGCUAAUACCGCAUACGUCCUACGGGAGAAAGCAGGGGAUCACUUGUGACCUUGCGCUAAUAGAUGAGCCUAAGUCGGAUUAGCUAGUUGGUGGGGUAAAGGCCUACCAAGGCGACGAUCUGUAGCGGGUCUGAGAGGAUGAUCCGCCACACUGGGACUGAGACACGGCCCAGACUCCUACGGGAGGCAGCAGUGGGGAAUAUUGGACAAUGGGGGGAACCCUGAUCCAGCCAUGCCGCGUGUGUGAAGAAGGCCUUAUGGUUGUAAAGCACUUUAAGCGAGGAGGAGGCUCUUUUGGUUAACACCCAAGAUGAGUGGACGUUACUCGCAGAAUAAGCACCGGCUAACUCUGUGCCAGCCGCCGCAGUAA
rnacentral:rRNA from 1 species